rnacentral:lncRNA from 1 species
UCAUGGAUUCACUCAACGAGGUAGGUGAAGGUAAUAUCAUGAACAUAACCUUAUCACACCUCCUUUUUCCGCACCCCGCGAAGGAUGAAAGGAUAAUUGAAACGAGAUUUAUUUUUAAAGAUUCAGAGUCGCCACUUGGGAGAUUUAUGGUGUCCUAAGUCACCUGUUUAAUCCCGACUCGAGGAAAAAGAAUGACUCUG